AAACCCUCAAGCUCAGCUUGGUGUUGGGUGUUUGUCCCGCCUGCCGCGCGAGGACUCGCCUCAAAAGUAUUGGCAGCCGGAACGUUGGCUUUGAGCGCAGCAGAAUAGCGCCCCUGGCCUCGUUGUCCGGUUCUCCAGGAAGCCUGUACCUCCAUG
rnacentral:misc_RNA from 1 species